rnacentral:rRNA from 1 species
GUCUCCGGCCAUGCCACCCUGAACAAGCCUGAUGUCUGAUCUCGAAAGCUAAGCAACGUCAGGCCUGGUUAGUACUUGGAUGGGAGACCACCUAGGAAGACCAGGUGCUAUAGGCA